rnacentral:rRNA from 1 species
AGUACGGGGGCCCGCAAGGGCAACCGGCGAACGGGUGCGUAACACGUGAGCAAUCUGCCGAUGUCUGGGGGAUAGCCGGCCCAACGGCCGGGUAAUACCGCAUACGCUCAUCGCGAGGAGUCUCGUGGUGAGGAAACCUCCGGGGGACAUCGAGGAGCUCGCGGCCUAUCAGCUAGUUGGUGCGGUCACGGCGCACCAAGGCUAUGACGGGUAGCUGGUCUGAGAGGAUGGCCAGCCACAUUGGGACUGAGAGACGGCCCAGACUCCUACGGGAGGCAGCAGUGGGGAAUCUUGCGCAAUGGCCGAAAGGCUGACGCAGCGACGCCGCGUGCGGGAGGAAGCUCUUCGGGGUGUAAACCGCUGUUGCCCGGAACGAAACUUCUCUUUCGAGGGAAUUGACGGUACCGGGUGAGGAAGCACCGGCUAACUCUGUGCCAGCAGCCGCGGUAAUACAGAGGGUGCGAGCGUUGUCCGGAAUCACUGGGCGUAAAGGGCGCGUAGGUGGCCACCAUAAGGCCGCGGUGAAAGUUCGGGGCUCAACCCCGAAUCGGCCGCGGCGACUGUGGGGCUUGGGUACCGUAGAGGCAGAUGGAAUUCCCGGUGUAGCGGUGGAAUGCGUAAAGAUCCGGAAAAACACCAGUGGCGAAAGCGGUCUGCUGGGCGGUGGGAUCGAAAGGUCUCUUAAACCGACACUGAGGCGCGACAGCGUGGGGAGCAAACAGGAUUAGAUACCCUGGUAGUCCACGCCGUAAACGAUGGGCACUAGGUGCUCC